CUCCUCUCAGGGUAACACCUGGAGAGUUUCCAGUACUCUACCAGUCUUGACUUCAGGAGUGAGAGUCAAGCAGAAGCAUAUCCAUUCCAUUCCUACCUUGGGCAGUGGCUAGCGAGUGGAAGGCAAUCUGCUACAAGU